rnacentral:rRNA from 1 species
AUGGGAAUAAAGUAUUCCACGUGUGGAAUUUUGUAUGUACCAUAUGAAUAAGGAUCGGCUAACUCCGUGCCAGCAGCCGCGGUAAUACGGAGGAUCCGAGCGUUAUCCGGAUUUAUUGGGUUUAAAGGGAGCGUAGGUGGAUUGUUAAGUCAGUUGUGAAAGUUUGCGGCUCAACCGUAAAAUUGCAGUUGAAACUGGCAGUCUUGAGUACAGUAGAGGUGGGCGGAAUUCGUGGUGUAGCGGUGAAAUGCUUAGAUAUCACGAAGAACUCCGAUUGCGAAGGCAGCUCACUAGACUGUCACUGACACUGAUGCUCGAAAGUGUGGGUAUCAAACAGGAUUAGAUACCCUGGUAGUCCACACAGUAAACGAUGAAUACUCGCUGUUUGCGAUAUACAGUAAGCGGCC